rnacentral:rRNA from 1 species
CAUGCAAGUCGAGCGGCAGCGGGAAGUAGCUUGCUACUUUGCCGGCGAGCGGCGGACGGGUGAGUAAUGUCUGGGAAACUGCCUGAUGGAGGGGGAUAACUACUGGAAACGGUAGCUAAUACCGCAUGACCUCGCAAGAGCAAAGUGGGGGACCUUCGGGCCUCACGCCAUCGGAUGUGCCCAGAUGGGAUUAGCUAGUAGGUGAGGUAAUGGCUCACCUAGGCGACGAUCCCUAGCUGGUCUGAGAGGAUGACCAGCCACACUGGAACUGAGACACGGUCCAGACUCCUACGGGAGGCAGCAGUGGGGAAUAUUGCACAAUGGGCGCAAGCCUGAUGCAGCCAUGCCGCGUGUGUGAAGAAGGCCUUAGGGUUGUAAAGCACUUUCAGCGAGGAGGAAGGGUUCAGUGUUAAUAGCACUGUGCAUUGACGUUACUCGCAGAAGAAGCACCGGCUAACUCCGUGCCAGCAGCCGCGGUAAUACGGAGGGUGCAAGCGUUAAUCGGAAUUACU